AGAUUACUCUGUGCUUACUUGGAAAAACUUGGACUUGCAUCAAGUCCCUUCCCUUUUGUUGUUCUUCCAGAUCCUGUUGUGGUUUCUAUUGCAGAUGGGUUUCUUUGAGCCAUGAAGAUUGCAUGGUUGAAGGGUGACUUCAGUUUGCUAAGCAGCAGCUUCUCCUGGCAUGAGCCACUGCAGAUCUCCUCAUCAGACGGGCUGAGACUAUCCUGUGUGCCCUGCACUUGGAGUAAGGAGAACACAGCAAGGUUGGUCCAACAGCCUUCCUGGAGUAUGACUCAGAAAAAGAAGGACCACAGCACCACACUGGCAAGAGGUAACUUGAACCAUAAUUUUACCUUUCCCACCAUCACCUCUAUGAUGUGGGCCGGUAACUUAAUCUCUCUAAACAAACUGUUUCCUGGCACCUGAAGUGAAGAGUUAUUUCGAAAUGCCUUUUAAAUACUGAUUGAGUUUGACAGCGAAGCACAACUGUGAGCGGAGGGCAAGGUGACAGCUCUGAACUAAUUCUCUACGAGAUAAUUUGCCGAAAGUAAAUUCAACACAGUGCACAUUCACCACAUUCCUUUCUUCUUUUCAGUAUUUACAAAGUUUACAGCAGUGUGUACUGAAUGUGCUGGUUUUCGCCACUUUUGAAGAUUCCUGUAAGGAUUUAGCUGAGAGUUUUCCAAUCGCUAACAGCAUUUGAAAGAACACCCCGUUUGUCUUUGUCUUGGCCCCCACCCACCAUUGUACAGAGG
rnacentral:lncRNA from 1 species